GUAUCCAAAAGGAAGUAGGGACCACUAGAACAGAGGUUUUCUCAGCCUUCCUACUGCUGAGAGCACAGUUCGUCAUGUUGUGGUGAGCCUCAACCGUAAACAUAUUUGUUGCUACUUCUUAACUGUAAUUUUGCUACUGUUAUGAAUCAUAAUGUAAAUAACCGAUAUGUAGAAUAUCUCAUAUGCAGCCCCCAAGGGGUCAAAAGCCACAGGUUGAGAACCAGCUAGAAUAAGGAGUUCUCAGGUGAUCCUGAAAGCAUUUUUCCAAACUCCAGCAGGUCCAUCUUGCGUGCGCUCGACUGGCCAGGAAGAACGACGUUGCAACAGGAUCCUUCUGCACACGUUUAUUGGGAGAACUUGAUUGUAGAGGCAAAGUGACCCCAAGCCCAGAACUGGUGCUGCUUUUAUAGGCCUAGGAGAGGCGUGUCUCACAUCUGAUUGGUUAACUUGUCUUGGCAAAAGAACCUUCACUGCCUAUGUAUGUGUGGUGGCCAGCAGUAGCCAACUGCCACUCUGCAACUGUCACUCUGCAACGGCUUCCCACAGGUCCAGACCUCUGGAGGCAGAGAAGAAGACAGACAGAGGCUUUACGGAUAAGUCUCUCAGAUAAAAAUAACAGGCAAGGAGCAUUCUCUAAGAAAAAUGCAGGUCUUAUGAAAGAAACAGCUAAUUCUGAUCUCCUCCAAUUUACAGACCAUCAUCUAAUCAUCUUCUCACUUUUACCUUUGGAUGUCUCCUGGCCUUGACCGCUGUGGGUGUCCUUCCUCUUUGAGUCCUAAGCCAUCUGUCUUUGAACAGCUGAGCUGCUGAGAACUCAAAGUCGAGUUCCAGUUGGCUGGGAGUUCAGCUGAAUUAGGCAGGAAGUGAUCUCCUCGAGAAGACCUGGGGUGGAGGAGAUGAAAUCCUCAGUUAAGGAGGAGACAUUUCUGGCCAACAUGCUAGACGACUUGACAUGGGCACUAGCCAGACUGUUGAUACAAUGGAGAAUAAAUUUCAUUACCUUCCUAUGGCUCA
rnacentral:lncRNA from 1 species